rnacentral:rRNA from 1 species
GACGAACGCUGGCGGCGCGCUUAACACAUGCAAGUCGAACGGAAAGGCCUGCUUUCCCUUGUGGAUUGCGGGUACUCGAGUGGCGAACGGGUGAGUAACACGUGAGUGAUCUGCCCCCAACUUGGGUAUAAGCCUGGGAAACUGGGUCUAAUUCCCGAUAGGACUGCAGGGUGGUGCCUGUGGUGGAAAACGAUUUUCUAGUGGCUGGGGAUGAGCUCGCGGCCUAUCAGCUUGUUGGUGGGGUAAUGGCCUACCAAGGCGGCGACGGGUAGCCGGCCUGGGAGGGUGGACGGGCACAUUGGGACUGAGAGACGGCCCAGACUCCGACGGGAGGCAGCAGUGGGGAAUAUUGCACAAUGGGCGGAAGCCUGAUGCAGCGACGCCGCGUGGGGGAUGACGGACCUCGGGUUGUGAACUCCUUUCGACCGCGAGGAAGCCACCUGGUUGGAAGGGUGGUGACGGUAGUGGUAGAAGAAGCACCGGCUAACUACGUG